CCUACGGGAGGCAGCAGUGGGGGAUAUUGCACAAUGGGGGGAACCCUGAUGCAGCGACGCCGCGUGGGUGAAGGAGUGCUUCGGCAUGUAAAGCCCUAUCGGCAGGGAAGAAGCAAGACGGUACCUGACUAAGAAGCCCCGGCUAACUACGUGCCAGCAGCCGCGGUAAUACGUAGGGGGCGAGCGUUAUCCGGCUUCACUGGGUGUAAAGGGAGCGUAGACGGCCAUGCAAGCCAGGGGGGAAAGCCCGGGGCACAACCCCGGGACUGCACUUGGAACUGCAUGGCGGGAGUGCGGGAGGGGCAGGCGGAAUUCCUGGUGUAGCGGUGAAAUGCGUAGAUAUCAGGAGGAACACCGGCGGCGAAGGCGGCCUGCUGGACUGCGACUGACGUUGAGGCUCGAAAGCGUGGGGAGCGAACAGGAUUAGAUACCCCGGUAGUC
rnacentral:rRNA from 1 species